UCAGCUAACUCGCUUUUUCAGGUUUUAACCGCAUGUCAUAUUUUUUUCCGCAGGUGGAGUUUGCUCAUUUGUCAUCUUGUGACCUAAGGCCAAAACUUGUCAGGGACCAGAGUUAUGGACCAGGAGCCAAUGGACAUCCAGACAAAGACCAAGGAUGCUACCCAUUCCUGACUGAGGAAGACCGUGAGAUGCUGUUAAAAUUACCAAAGAAACUUGAGUCCCUCACCAGGAGAGAUCAUUCUAUCCAGGAUGAGGGAUCGGAGGUGUGGCGAGGAGGAUUUCUAGAACAUCGCAUCCUCCCUUGUAAGAGGUACUCACUUACUUAAGCCAUCAGCCAGUCAUUAAAAAUGUAAAAUUAACAUCUUUAAAGUGGAACACGAUUGUGUUCUGUGCUCAGGAGGCAGUGAAGCGCGACGCUUGCAUAUGAAAUGCAUUUGGUCAUCCCCCUGGCAACAGGGAAGGAAAAGGUGCAUUGAGUGAAACGAGAGCAGAUUGCUUUUAUUCUUUAUUUAGAGAGUUAUUCUAGACACUGAGUCACAGAUGCCCUGCCAUCAUAAAAAUCCUUCCUGCUCAAUUGAGGCUGUCGGAAGGAAAAUGUUGCAGGCUUGGGUCUCUGUAGGGAAGAACAAAAAGCAAUCAGGAAUUUUUAUUUGUCUCAGACAUGUUUUUUCACGUUAUAAAUAUGUCAAAGAUUUGCGCUGCUGACAUUAUAUUCCUCCUGAGACAAUCAGGGAGCAGGGUAAAGACAAAUUUGACACUAUAACAUAAAUAGACUGUUAUUUUAGUUUGAAUUUCUUCCCUUUUCGCGAGGUAUCAAUGAAAGGAGUGAUCACACAGCCACUAGAGGGGUGUGUGUGAAGUUUAAAGCAUCAGUUAACAGGCAGGAUCCUUGAUGAGAUGGGCUUUCUUUCACAAUAAUGUUUGGCCUUGGGCUUUGGCCAUGAACCUAAAUGUACUUGUAUUAAUGUGUUUCAGAUGUGUGUGGGAUGUAAUGUACUCCAUAUUGUAAAUUUCCUGCACAAACAGGGAAUCCAGUUCCUUUAUGCAGCUUAAAUUGUCCUCUGUGUGUACUGGAGCCUGACCCAUAAAUUGGCUGAUGUUAUUGAUAGCUUAUCACAGAUAUCUCUGUAUUUGCACAUAAGUAACAAAAUAUUGCUGUACAGUAGUGAUGUUUGGGGUAAUUUAGAGAUUAUAUAGUGUGUCUACCAGGGAAUGCUGACUGGGUUUAUUUUUAGCCACAAUAUCUGCCCUCUAAUUUGUUCCAAAACUAAAUAUUUCAACAACUUUUGGACUGAUUACCGUGAACCAAGAGUGAAGCGUGUUGUCUUUGAUGAUCCUCUGACUUAUCCUCUCAUGCCACCAUGAAGUUGAUGUUUUUUGUUUUUAGGGAAAUAUCCGAUAUCCGAUUGGUUUAUGACCAAAUACCUGCAAAAUUAAUGAAAUUACCAUCAGCCUCAACUGUACUUUAUAAUUGAGGCUAUUCGCAAAUGUUAGCAUUUCAUUUAACACGCUAAACAUCAUAAUUGCUAGACAUGAGCAUUGUGACCAUGUUAGCAUGUAGCUUAAAGCCUCUCUGUGCAGCCUCACACAGCCACUACCGUGGUGGUGUCUUGGCCACAAUUCUUUAAAUUCAACAAUCUGGUCAAAAACAUAAAUAAAGGUCUGAAAGGCUAAAAGUUACAGAAAAAUUGCAGUGAGUGGUAUUUACAUUUAAUUGUGUGCUACUUUCAAUUGUCAAUAAUGAAACUUUAAGCUCAACUUUAAGUAUUAUAAAGGAUCUUUUAUGAUAAACAAUUAUCAUUCAGUAUUUUAUUUCUGGACUUUUAAACUCAAACAUUACAAUAUCCGUAUUGGCCUCAAAAGUCCUGUAUUAGUUGGACUGUGCACAAAAUGAUUUACAAAGCUUAGACCUGAGUAAUAGAAAUGAUCUGCACUUUGACAACGAGAAAGUUAUUAAUCCUCUGACUGCUUAUUCAGUAAAUGUGACUUAAGUAAUACAAAAAUGUGCAUCUACAUGUAACGCAAUGAAAUGUUGGGUCUCUGUCAAUAAUGUUAUAAGGAGUAAGGUCCUUAGAUAACUUUAACUUAAAACUGAACUGAAUUUAAUUGUAGAUCUUCUAUUCUCAUAGUUUUAACUACUCAUCA
rnacentral:lncRNA from 15 species